UACAGAGGUCUCAAGCGUUGUUCGGAUUCAUUGGGCGUAAAGGGUGCGUAGGUGGCGCCGUAAGUCAGGUGUGAAAUUUCGGAGCUUAACUCCGAAACUGCAUUUGAUACUGCGGUGCUUGAGGACUGGAGAGGAGACUGGAAUUCAUGGUGUAGCAGUGAAAUGCGUAGAGAUCAUGAGGAAGACCAGUGGCGAAGGCGGGUCUCUGGACAGUUCCUGACACUGAGACACGAGGCCAGGGGAGCAAACGGGAUUAGAACCUAC
rnacentral:rRNA from 1 species